CGCUGCCUGUGGGGCCAGAGGAGAAACACAAGGGCUGUCAGGACACCCCGCACGGCGGCGGCUCCUGCUGCCCUGGGAGAGAGCGUCCAGGCGCCAAGGGGCCGCAAGUGCAUCUAGUCCCCGGGACAGUCCUGGGGGCAACAUAUCUGCUUUCCCAUGGGAGAGACCAGGGAAAGGGCUUCCCAGCGAUUCAUGGCGAGGAAUGAGCUGUGCAAGAGCUUGGACUCAGUAUUCUGCGGGAAAGGUUUGGCCUUCUUGGGGUACAAGAAUCUGGUGACUAAAAGAAACAGGAGCUGAUGUUGGCCAGUGGAAGAUGCGGGUUCCAAGUUAUUGACCAACUGACCCUUGGCGAGGGUCAUCAGGGCAACAUGAUGCAAGAGAGAUCAAAAUGGCUCCUUUCCCCUGAGCCUUCCAGUUGCUGCUCAAGAUUCAUGGAGACUUAACAUAAAGGUUUCCUGUGGCAACAGGCAACUCUUAAGACCUACUUCCGAUGCAGAAGUGUUUUCAAAUUGCGACUCAUAAGUGGGUCGUGAAAUCAUUUUUGCGGGGC